UACGUAGGGGGCUAGCGUUGUCCGGAAUCAUUGGGCGUAAAGAGCGUGUAGGCGGUCCGGUAAGUCCGCUGUGAAAGUCGGGGGCUCAACCCUCGAAUGCCGGUGGAUACUGUCGGGCUAGAGUGCGGAAGAGGAGAGUGGAAUUCCUGGUGUAGCGGUGAAAUGCGCAGAUAUCAGGAAGAACACCAAUGGCGAAAGCAGCUCUCUGGGACGGUACUGACGCUGAGACGCGAAAGCGUGGGGAGCGAACAGG
rnacentral:rRNA from 1 species